rnacentral:lncRNA from 1 species
CCGCGGUCCUCUGCGCGGGAUGUGGCGCUCAGCUUCUUUCUGAGUGUUCCGCCGGGUUCGACAGGGUCGAGGUCGCCGGCGCGAGGCUCCCGGAUAGCUGAGGGGCGCGAGGGCGCCUCCAGUCUCCCACCUGCCCUCCCGCGCCGCGGACUAGGCUGCCAGUCUACCCCACCGGGACGUCUGCCCCCGCAUGCAGGAGGGGGUGUGUCGGCCCAACGGGGUCUCAGGACCUGUCCCUGCUCCUCCAAAGCCCACGUCGCCUGCGGCGCCCCUCGGGUCUGCGCCGCGUUCUCCUUUAGCCUCCCGGGCCUCUCCGCUGCCCCUCGCCCCCAGGCACCAGCCACACCUGCUUCCUUCUGUUCCCGCCCGUGGCCUCUGACACGCCGUGCCCUGGACCCGAAAUGCCCGCCCCACUCCUGGAGCCUCCGGUGUGUGAGAGGCACCUUUCCUUGGGGUCAGGGGCCCGGACUCUGAAGCCGGCCUGGCUUUGCCUGUGGGCCCCGAUCCUCCCAGCUCGAGUCCCUCGCCCCAGCCGCCGCGGGCCUUCACCUGUGCUUUGGGGACGACAGGAUGGCCACCCUCCUUCCCCCAAAGAUUUGAGGGUUUUGCUCCACGCGGGAGAAGGUCUGCCUGUGCCACCAGCCGGCAGCCUUUCACAUGCUGUUGCGUUACGGGGCCCUCUGUGACCUUUCCCUAGGCCGAGGGGUGCUUCGUCUCUGUUCCUGAGAGACCAGAAUUUAUUCUUGGUUUGUCAAGCCACAUCUGUAGGAAUGUUGCCCAGUUGCAGCAGGCUGGGGUCUGGGACUUGCUCCUUUGGCGAAUUGAGAAGUAAGGAUAUAGAAGGCAUUUUAGCACUAAUGGAAACCAGAACCACUCUUAGACCUGGGCAAGAGGGGCCCCAGAAAUUAGCAAGCGAUUAGCAAGCAGCUGGAUUUCGAUGACCUCCACUGUACUUAGAGCAACGGCAUUCGAUUCGUUGGAUCAUUUCAAAGAUGACAUACUGGGUUGUUUGUUUGUUUCUGGCGGUGUCUAAAGAUGGAACAUCUUGAAGCAUUUUGAAUUUGACCUGUGGCUACCCUCAGAUACAAUGAUGGUAACCCCAUGAGUGCUGUUAAAGCAAUUUGACUUAUUGUAGACAGGUUAACACAUGAGAUGCGUUAAAAGAGUUAAGUGAAAUAAUAGGCAGCAUUCAAAGAGCAAAUCGUGGUCUUUGGCAGAAAAUAGAGUUAAUUUUGUAUUUGAGCUGUCCAGUUAUUACAAUUAGAAAACGUUUUAAAGAAUCCAAAAGGAUUUAAAAUAUUGCAUAAAGUUUUAGGAGAAAAUGGUUUCCAAAAAGCAACUGCAUAUGAAAUAAGCACUAAAAUGACAUUAAAGUACAAUGUAAGAAAAUCGGAACUAGAAGCAUUUGCUGGAGUCUGAAGAAAAAGAUUUAUGGAUGAAUGAUUCUGAAACUAACUUCUAUAGAGACAAUUUUCCGGCGAUGGUAGAUCAAGGUGUAGAUUGUACUGAAGAGAGAGAUUCAAACAAAAUUAAAGAACAUAAUGUUACAAAGAAGAGAGCUAAGCAACAUUGCUAAACAACAGGACAAUCUCUGGA